GCCUGGGUGGCUCAGUCGGUUGAGCGUCUGACUCCGGCUCAGGUCAUGAUCUCGGGGCUCAUGGGUUCAAGCCCCGCAUCGGGCU
rnacentral:tRNA from 1 species